AGUGAACGCUGGCGGUAGGCCUAACACAUGCAAGUCGAACGGCAGCACAGUAAGAGCUUGCUCUUACGGGUGGCGAGUGGCGGACGGGUGAGGAAUACAUCGGAAUCUACUUUUUCGUGGGGGAUAACGUAGGGAAACUUACGCUAAUACCGCAUACGACCUGCGGGUGAAAGCAGGGGAUCUUCGGACCUUGCGCGAUUGAAUGAGCCGAUGUCGGAUUAGCUAGUUGGCGGGGUAAAGGCCCACCAAGGCGACGAUCCGUAGCUGGUCUGAGGGGAUGAUCAGCCACACUGGAACUGAGACACGGUCCAGACUCCUACGGGAGGCAGCAGUGGGGAAUAGUGGACAAUGGGCGCAAGCCUGAUCCAGCCAUACCGCGUGGGUGAAGAAGGCCUUCGGGUUGUAAAGCCCUUUUGUUGGGAAAGAAAAGCAGCAGGUUAAUACCCCGCUGUUCUGACGGUACCCAAAGAAUAAGCACCGGCUAACUUCGUG
rnacentral:rRNA from 1 species